rnacentral:rRNA from 1 species
AAUUCGAUCAUGGCUCAGAUUGAACGCUGGCGGGAUGCUACACAGCAUGCAAGUCGAACGGCAGCACGGACUUCGGUCUGGUGGCGAGUGGCGAACGGGUGAGUAAUGUAUCGGGAACGUGCCUAGUAGCGGGGGAUAACUACGCGAAAACGUAGCUAAUGCCGCAUACGCCCUUCGAAGCCGAGGGACCUUCCAGGCCCUCACACUAUCCAACAGCCGUCGGAUUAGCUAGUUGGUAGGGUAACGGCUCCCACCCAGGCAGCGAUCCGUAGCUGGUUUUUGAGAGGACGACCAGCCACACUGGGACUGAGACACAGCCCCAGACUCCUACGGGAGGCGAAAGCAGUGGGGAAUUUUCGGACCAAUGGAAACCUGAUUAAUAUCCCGCGUGUGCGAUGAAGGCUACUUCGGGUUGUAAGCACUUUUGGCAGGGAAAAGAAACGGCACGGGGAUAAUACCCCGUGCAACUGACGGUACCUGCAGAAUAAGCACCGGCUAACUACGUGCCAGCAGCCGCGGUAAUACGUAGGAUUGCAAGCGUUAAUCGGAAUUACUGGGCGUAAAGCGUGCGCAGGCGGUUCCGGAAGAAGAUGUGAAAUCCCAGAGCUUAACUUUGGAACUACAUUUUUUAACUGCGAGCUAGAGUGUCGGAGGUGGAAUUCCGCAUGCCAUUGUCCGUAGAUAUGCGGAGGAACACCGAUGGCGAAGGCAACCUCCUGGGAUAACACUGACGCUCAUGCAGAAAACGCAGGGGAGCAAACAGGAUUAGAUACCCUGAAGUCCACGCCCUAAACGAUGUCAACUAGCUGUUGGGGCCUUCGGGCCUUGGUAGCGCAGCUAACGCGUGAAGUUGACCGCCUGGAAGUACAGUCCGCAGUUAAAACUCAAGGAGUGGCGGGGACCCGCACAAGCGAGUGGAUGAUGUGGAUUAAUUCAGUGCAACGCGAAAACCUUACCUACAUGACAUGCUGGAAUCCGAAGAGAUUUGGGGCCUGCAAGGCGGAACUGGUGCUGCAUGGCUGUCGUCAGCUCGUGUCGUGAGAUGUUGGGUUAGUCCCGCAACGAGCGCAACCCUUGUCAUUGAUUGCUACGAAAGGGCACUCUAAUACCUGAGACUGCCGAUGAUGACAAGCCGGAGGAAGGUGGGGAUGACGUCAGUCCUCCUUGGCCCUUAUGGGUAGGGCUUGUCAUACAAUGGUCGGGACAGAGGGUCCUCCAACCCGCGAGGAGCCAAUCUGAAACCCGAUCGUAGUCCGGAUCGCAGUCUGCAACUCGACUGCGUGAAGUCGGAAUCGCUGGCUCAAUCGCGGAUCAGCAUGUCGCAGUGCAAACCGUUCCGGGUCUUGUACACACCGCCCGUCACACCAGCGGAGUGGUUUUACCAGAAGUAGUUAGCUAGCCGUAAGGAGGGCGAUUCUGUUGGAUUCAUGACUGGGGUGAAGUGUAACAAGGUAA